AGGGAAUCUUCCGCAAUGGACGAAAGUCUGACGGAGCAACGCCGCGUGAGUGAAGAAGGUCUUCGGAUCGUAAAACUCUGUUGUUGGGGAAGAACAAGUGCCGUUCGAACAGGGCGGCGCCUUGACGGUACCCGGCCAGAAAGCCACGGCUAACUACGUGCCAGCAGCCGCGGUAAUACGUAGGUGGCAAGCGUUGUCCGGAAUUAUUGGGCGUAAAGCGCGCGCAGGCGGUCUUUUAAGUCUGAUGUGAAAGCCCACGGCUCAACCGUGGAGGGUCAUUGGAAACUGGAAGACGUGAGUGCAGAAGAGGAGAGUGGAAUUCCACGUGUAGCGGUGAAAUGCGUAGAGAUGUGGAGGAACACCAGUGGCGAAGGCGACUCUCUGGUCUGUAACUGACGCUGAGGCGCGAAAGCGUGGGGAGCAAAC
rnacentral:rRNA from 1 species